CCUACGGGGGGCAGCAGUAGGGAAUCUUCGGCAAUGGACGAAAGUCUGACCGAGCAACGCCGCGUGAGUGAAGAAGGUUUUCGGAUCGUAAAACUCUUUUGGUAGAGAAGAACGUUGGUGAGAGUGGAAAGCUCAUCAAGUGACGGUAACUACCCAGAACGGGACGGCUAACUACGUGCCAGCAGCCGCGGUAAUACGUAGGUCCCGAGCGUUGUCCGGAUUUAUUGGGCGUAAAGCGCUCGUAGGCGGUAUGUCAAGUCAAGGGUGAACUCCCCGCGCUCAACGUGGGAACUGCCUGUGAAACUGGCAGAGUGGAGUGUGUGAGAGGAUAGUGGAAUUCCAGGUGUAGGAGUGAAAUCCGUAGAUAUCGGGAGGAACAUCAGUGGCGAAGGCGACUAUCUGGCACAUAACUGACGCUGAGGAGCGAAAGCGUGGGGAGCAAACAGGAUUAGAUACCCGAGUAGUC
rnacentral:rRNA from 1 species